rnacentral:piRNA from 1 species
UGAAGAAACAAAGGGCAGCCCCAGUGAC